GCUGCGGUGUCCGAGUGGUUAAGGAGUUAGACUUGAAAUCUAAUGGGCUCUGCCCGCACAGGUUCGAACCCUGUCCACAGCG
rfam:Acyrthosiphon pisum strain LSR1 Contig27766, whole genome shotgun sequence.